rnacentral:rRNA from 1 species
ACGUUACCUACAGAAGAAGCACCGGCUAACUCCGUGCCAGCAGCCGCGGUAAUACGGAGGGUGCGAGCGUUAAUCGGAAUUACUGGGCGUAAAGCGCAUGCAGGCGGCCUGUUAAGUACAGAUGUAGAAAGACCCGGGGCCGUUUAACCCUACGGUAAAGUUGCAUUUAGUAAACUAGGCGAGGCGUAGAGUCUUGUAGAGGGGGGUAGGAAUUUCAGGUGUAGCGGUGAAAUAGCGUAGAGAUCUGAAGGAAUACCAGUGGCGAAGGCGGCCCCCUGGACAAAGACUGACGCUCAGAUGCGAAAGCGUGGGGAGCAAACAGGAUUAGAUACCCUGGUAG